UGUUGGGUUAAGUCCCGCAACGAGCGCAACCCUCGUUCCAUGUUGCCAGCACGUAGUGGUGGGGACUCAUGGGAGACUGCCGGGGUCAACUCGGAGGAAGGUGGGGACGACGUCAAAUCAUCAUGCCCCUUAUGUCUUGGGCUUCACGCAUGCUACAAUGGCCGGUACAAUGGGUUGCGAUACUGUGAGGUGGAGCUAAUCCCAAAAAGCCGGUCUCAGUUCGGAUUGGGGUCUGCAACUCGACCCCAUGAAGUCGGAGUCGCUAGUAAUCGCAGAUCAGCAACGCUGCGGUGAAUACGUUCCCGGGCCUUGUACACACCGCCCGUCAAGUCACGAAAGUUGGUAACACCCGAAGCCGGUGGCCCAACCCCUUGUGG
rnacentral:rRNA from 1 species